GUGGCUGUAGCUCAGGUGGUAGAGCCCCGGAUUGUGAUUCCGGUUGUCGUGGGUUCGAGUCCCAUCAGCCACCCCA
rnacentral:tRNA from 1 species